rnacentral:rRNA from 1 species
GUUUCCCUCAGGAUAGCUGGAACUUUAACGAAUAGUUUUAUCAGGUAAAGCGAAUGAUUAGAAGCUCUGGGGAUGAAACAUCCUCGACUUAUUCUCAAACUUUAAAUAGGUAAGAUGACUGUAGUACUUAGUUUGACUAUUAGUCUCUUGAAUAGUAAGUUCUUAGUGGGCCAUUUUUGGUAAGCAGAACUGGCGAUGUGGGAUGAACCAAACGUAAGUUAAAGUGCCUAAAAAUACGUUCAUCAGAUACCACAAAAGGUGUUGAUUCAUCUUGACAGUUGGACAGUGGCCAUGGAAGUCGGAAUCUGCUAAGGAGUGUGUAACAACUCACCAACCGAAUGAAUUAGCCCUGAAAAUGGAUGGCGCUUUAAAACGUAUUACUUAUACUUUACCAUUAAGAUAAAU